rnacentral:rRNA from 1 species
UGCGUAGGCGGUUUGUUAAGUCAUUUGUAAAAGAUCUCAGCCCAACUGAGUAAGGCGAAUGAAACUGGCAGACUUGAAUACGGUAGAGGUAAGUGGAAUUCCAUGUGUAGCGGUGGAAUGCGUAGAUAUAUGGAGGAACACCAAUGGCGAAGGCAACUUACUGGGCCGGAAUUGACGCUGAGGCACGAAAGCGUGGGGAGCAAACAGGAUUAGAUACCCUGGUAGUCC